rnacentral:rRNA from 4 species
CCCUGACCCCAUGCCGAACUCAGAAGUGAAACGCCGUAGCGCCGAUGGUAGUGUGGGGUCUCCCCAUGCGAGAGUAGGGAACUGCCAGGC